CUGUUCUCCUCCCUUUUCUCUUUCUUCUUUCUCUCUCUUUUCUUUCUCUUCCCACCACCGAGAAAACAUAACAAAAGUUUUAUCAAUGUCAGGGGUAGCAUCAAAUGUAGAGAAAGCAGAA
rnacentral:ribozyme from 13 species